AUGUGAUUGUUUCAGAGAAGAUAUUAAUUGACCUUACGACAGCGGCUACUAAGCCACGCCCCCUGAUAUCAAGGGAGCGAACACUGUCUAUGUCCGUCAAACAAACAAGGAAGCAAUGGCGUUGUUUCACCGACAUUCCUGACGGUUUGGGGCCAAAUUAUCAUAAAUGUGACAUUUCACUGCGAAAACAACAGUAGGCAAAGGAAUUUGUUACUGGCUGCUACAUCGGAAAGCUCGAUAUAUCUUUAGAAGACGAUGAUAUCUAACAUUUACGGGCUGAAAUCUAUCGAAGUCAGAGAAAUCGGAUAGCCACCAUGUUGUCAACAUUGAUAUCGAUACAAAGGAAAAGCGUGUGUGUGACGCAUACUGUAAAUGCAAACUAGGAAAUUUCACACACUCUGCCUGUUAAGGUAAACCUGGGAGGAAAAGUGCCCCCGGUGUGGGGCUUAAACUCACGACCACCAUAAUACUAGCACGGCGCUCUAACCAACUACGCUGACCGGGCAGCUGGUUGUAACCAACGCUGCCACCAUCAAAGUAUUCUGAUUGAUGGAUAUAAGGAAGUCCCGUUGUUAUUGUCUUCAACAAGCCUACCGCCACAGCCUGGCACAGUAUAAGACCAGAAACCGCCCCCCCCCCAUGAUAUUUGCCAGUCCGGGCAAUGUAAACCGCAAGAGAAAACCAGUGAUGGAAAGUGUGGUCUUUUGAAGAGAGUCCUUGAAGUCGUUCAGCAUGUUGUGUUGUUGGAUUCAUGGAAGGAUGUACCUAUGGUGUUAGCUUCAGUCCUGGAAUAUAACACCAGUUGUUUCAUAUUUAAUAUCAGAUUAAUACAUUGUUGUGUUGAAAACAUUACUUAAACUUUGACAUUUCUUUGGUGCUUAUACAUGAUAUUGUAGGUGUACAUCUCUUUAUUGCAAUGGCAAAUAUAUUUUAAAAUAUAUCGCAUAAGCAGAAGUAAUUUUUCUCUAUUAAAGCUGCACUUUCACAGAUUGAUCGCUUUGACAACUUAUAAAAGAUAUGAUUGCAUUUAUCAUAUUUUGGCUCAGAGGUUUGCUUUGUGGUUAUAUAUAAGAACUUAAUUGAAAGAAUGACAAAAUUAGCCCCAUUCUCAAACAAAAAAGUGUCAAAACAGAAAUCUGUGAGAGUGCAACUUUACGAAUGGGAUAAACUUUCAUUAAAGAUAAUAGAUUUACGUAAUUGGCACCAAAUAUAAGAAUAACAUUGAAAUCAUGUACAUGUUUGACUUGUUCAUUAUUCAUAAUAAGAGACUACAGUGAGUCUUUACAGCACAUGCUUGGCAGAAUCAAGUGAACUCAAUAAUUGAUUUAAAUGAUUUAUAUGAAAAUAAGAAAUCUAUGAAAUUGUGUCGAAAUGACUGCUACAAUAGCCAUUGUUUACAUGAAAUAAAUUGAUUUAUACAGCAAAUAAAACCUUGACGAUUCAGA